CGAAUGCUGACAUAAGUAACGAUAAAGCGGGUGAAAAGCCCGCUCGCCGGAAGACCAAGGGUUCCUGUCCAACGUUAAUCGGGGCAGGGUGAGUCGACCCCUAAGGCGAGGCCGAAAGGCGUAGUCGAUGGGAAACAGGUUAAUAUUCCUGUACUUGGUGUUACUGCGAAGGGGGGACGGAGAAGGCUAUGUUGGCCGGGCGACGGUUGUCCCGGUUUAAGCGUGUAGGCUGGUUUUCCAGGCAAAUCCGGAAAAUCAAGGCUGAGGCGUGAUGACGAGGCACUACGGUGCUGAAGCAACAAAUGCCCUGCUUCCAGGAAAAGCCUCUAAGCAUCAGGUAACAUCAAAUCGUACCCCAAACCGACACAGGUGGUCAGGUAGAGAAUACCAAGGCGCUUGAGAGAACUCGGGUGAAGGAACUAGGCAAAAUGGUGCCGUAACUUCGGGAGAAGGCACGCUGAUAUGUAGGUGAGGUCCCUCGCGGAUGGAGCUGAAAUCAGUCGAAGAUACCAGCUGGCUGCAACUGUUUAUUAAAAACACAGCACUGUGCAAACACGAAAGUGGACGUAUAC
rnacentral:rRNA from 1 species